UACGAAGGGGGCUAGCGUUGCUCGGAAUCACUGGGCGUAAAGGGUGCGUAGGCGGGUCUUUAAGUCAGGGGUGAAAUCCUGGAGCUCAACUCCAGAACUGCCUUUGAUACUGAGGAUCUUGAGUCCGGGAGAGGUGAGUGGAACUGCGAGUGUAGAGGUGAAAUCCGUAGAUAUUCGCAAGAACACCAGUGGCGAAGGCGGCUCACUGGCCCGGUACUGACGCUGAGGCACGAAAGCGUGGGGAGCAAACAGGG
rnacentral:rRNA from 1 species